UAUAUUUGACAACUUUCAGUGUUUUUUCCUUCUCUCUGGAACUUAAAAAUACAGAACCCUGUGAAAAUGAAUGAGAAGCCCUGCUUAUGUAAAGCUGGUAGAGCUUUGCUGCACAUUCAGAUUGUAUUUGAGGCAAAGCUUAACAUGCAGAUGAGGUUUUAUAAUUCUUCAUCCCUCCUGCUCUUCUUUAUUUCCCUAUAAUGGAUUUUGAUUUAUUUGAUGAUGGGAUCAGACUUCUCUCCUCUGUAUCAUCAGGAACCUUCACAAGUUUUCUGCUAAGGGAAGGGAUAGUAAAAUUUGCAUUGUGUUUUUUUGUUAUUUUCCUUCCACUGCAGCUCUGAGAUUUGCAAAACCCUGCCUGUGUAACUCAGAAGUGAAUCUCCUUUUGAUAUUGGAUAUUCCUUUUGUUUCCUUGCAUGCUGUAAACAGCAACAGCACCUGGGAGCUGAGCGUCAGCACAACACAGCAUGGGAGUGUCUGUCUGUGUAAGCAAAGCAGAGAUGAUCACUUCGAUCAGCCCUGGUGCCAGCACUGCCAGCCCUUUUCCCACUGCACACAGGAGCACAUCCCAUAAAUAUGGAGUGACUGCAGCCAGCCAUCUGCAAGGGAACCAACAUUCAGCUGCCAUAAGCAGGAACCCCGCUUGCUGCUGCAGAGAGGCAUGCACCAGAAGCUGACCUCCUUAUCUUGAAUUUCAUACAUAAUGAGUAGCUAAAUCUGACACCAAAUGAUUUUAGGAAGAAAAUUCAAAGUCAAGUCAUUUCCUUUGAAAAAGCCAUUUGAAACCUUUAGGGAAGGUUUCUGGGAACAUAAUUUAAAACUCAUUUCCCCACACAAGUGAUUUGGAUUAAUUUCAAUAAAUCCAGUGUUUACUAUGAACAGAACUCCUCCUCUCUCACCACAAGCCCUGGACACUUUGGACUACUCUUUCAUUUGUUGCUCCCUCUAAAAGUGCUCCCUCAUUCUGCUUGUGUAAUUCAGAUGUGUUUUUAUCUGCAAGAAAAUGCCGCUUCAGCUAUUGAGACUAAGCUGUGGGAGAAGUGCCUGGCCUCGGCUGCGCUGCAGUCCCUCCUCAAGCCAUGCCCAGGAAGCGUGACCCUCGAUUUUCUCAUGGGCACCUCCACUGAGGAUACUCAAGGACUAGAGGAGAAGCUGAGCUGUCUGGCACUAACUCUAUUGGAAAGCACUGUUUGCAUUUGUAAUGCAAAGCAGACAUGAUUUCAGAACCUGAUCUCUUUGACAACAAAGGCUGUAGAAGAUUAGAAAUACUUAGAUUUGCAGUUCAUUAAAAAAUGUAUUUCCCUCUGUAAAAGGAAUUGGUUUUCUUAACUCAUUUGCCUUGCUUCUCUCUUGAGUGU